CCUACGGGAGGCAGCAGUGAGGAAUAUUGGUCAAUGGACGCAAGUCUGAACCAGCCAUGCCGCGUGCAGGAAGACGGCUCUAUGAGUUGUAAACUGCUUUUGUCCGGGGGUAAAUCCCGAUACGUGUAUCGGGUUGAAAGUAUCGUACGAAUAAGGAUCGGCUAACUCCGUGCCAGCAGCCGCGGUAAUACGGAGGAUUCAAGCGUUAUCCGGAUUUAUUGGGUUUAAAGGGUGCGUAGGCGGUUCGAUAAGUUAGAGGUGAAAUCCCGGGGCUCAACUCCGGCACUGCCUCUGAUACUGUCGGGCUAGAGUUUAGUUGCGGUAGGCGGAAUGUAUGGUGUAGCGGUGAAAUGCAUAGAGAUCGUACAGAACACCGAUUGCGAAGGCAGCUUACCAAACUACGACUGACGUUGAGGCACGAAAGCGUGGGGAGCGAACAGGAUUAGAUACCCUUGUAGUC
rnacentral:rRNA from 1 species